rnacentral:rRNA from 1 species
UUCCUAAAGAUUAAGCCAUGCAUGCCCAUGAUUAGAACGUGUUUGUAGCAUCGAAUCUGCGAACGGCUCCACAUAACAAUUGUAACCCAAGGCCAUCCAAGGGAUUCACCAGCGAUUAGUAGAAGCGCUUUUGUGACUGCGUCGGAAGGAAUUAGUAGUUUUGGGGCAACCCGAGAUCAACGUACCAGAAAGCUAGGUCCGCUGGCGUAACGAAUUUUGCAUGGGUGUCCGCUCUUCAAGACGGAUAUCCCCGGUAAUUCUAAGGUUAAUACGACAUUAGUGUGCGAAGCUCGGUUGAGCACCCUGGCGCAAGCCGGGGAGUUCCUGGGCACCGGACGGCGCUUCAUCUCCCCCGCUAAGAAAUUCGAGUUGGAUCUCCAGCUUCAGACUUGAUAGGCGCCAGAUUGGCAAAAAUACAGCAUCCGAAAAAAGAUCCGUCCGGCCGACCGCGUCGGGUUCUGCUCUCCUGUGGGUUCCUCUUUUGGGGCUCGCGAAGCGGGGGGGCGGGGCUUGGCAAGUGUAGGUGUGGUUUCCCAGACGUUUUCCCGCAAGGUUGAGAACAGAAGGGAGACAUUAAGGCAGUGUUCGCUUAGCGGCACUUUGCCCCGGACUUUUGACCUAUCAACUCACGAUGAAAGCGCCCACGGUCCGCACAUGGUAACAACGGGUACAGAGGAUCAGGGUUCGAUCCUGGAGAGUGGGCCUUAAAAAUUGCUCACACUUCUAAGGAAGGCAGCAGGCGCGCAACGUUCCCAUUGGGCCAAGCUCGAGGGCGUUACAGGAAGCAUUGGAGCCUGCCCAUUUAAGGGCGGGCUACCAGAAUGGGGCCACCGUAAAUAUACGGCCGAGUAACAAUUAGAGGACAAGUCUGGUGCCAGCACCCGCGGUAAUUCCAGCUCUAAUGGCGUAAAUUAAAGUUGCUGCAGUUGAAACGCUCGUAGUCGGGGGAGUCCAGAGGAGGCGGUCGGGGCUAGUUCCCGGCAAGAUCUUCUGCGUGCUUCCAUACAAAAUCCGGUCAGAAACGGAGGCUCUUGAAGGAAAGAUGGUUCUAGAAAAUGCGGGGAUAUUCCAAACAGGGGGCGACAAAGCUGAACUAUGGGAACCUUGGGAGGCAGAAGGAGGAGACAGCCCCACACAUUCGGUUGAUAUAAGGCACAUCUUCACUGGAAGCCACCCCUUGCUGAGCCUUUCAGGCAAAGGAGGAUCUCUCGGUAGCGUUGCUGUUCUGGUCCCUAAAAAUGAAGGAGCGGACUUUUCGGUAGGGGGCUUUUUUAGGAGGAAAGUUCUCGCUCUCUCCUCCCCAAAAUGCUGGGGGGUGGGAGGUGCUUGUAGACAAACCACCGCAUGACAUGAUUCAAAACAAACCCGGCCUUGAAGGGAGCCUCCUGUUAGUGCGCAUCUUUUUGCAAGCUUGAUGGACGGCACUGUUGAUGGGCCAAACUGACUUGGAACACAAUCGUUCCCCCCCUCUUUUGGGGGAGACUUUUGUUAGGGGCUCGAAGGCUUUCCCCCACUUUUUUUUUGUGGGGUUGUAGAGCCCUCUUGCACGCAAGCUUUUUCGGGGGUUGAGCCUUCACUCUUGUAGUAAGGUUCCCUAUUCCAAACCGGGAAACAAAAAGCACCCUGCCCCGGAUUCACCAUGAAUAAAGUAGAGUGAUCGAGGCGAGCCAGUCAAUCAAAACCGAAAAGGCAACGUGUAUAUCGCAGCAUGGUAUAACGCAGGUCGGGGUACACGCCUCAGGAAUCACGGGAGGGCAACUUUCCGCCUGGGGUGGGGGAGGCAACAUCAACUGGGGCUCUGUGCUCUCAAAGUAGUCUCCUUUGGCAGACCCUCACGGGCGCCUUGUAAUUCUGAAGUCGUUGAUCUUAAAUAUCGACUCUGCGCAUUUGGUUUUUGUCGGCGGUUCUCCGCUUGGUGAGAGCUGGGUGCGUGGGGGAGAGCACGGAUGCCAAUUGGUCAAAAGGGGUGUUCGGGGGUUGCAGAAUCGCUGGGCGAGGGGUGAAAUCCGUUGACCCUAGCGAGUCUACCAAGUGCGAAAGCAGCAGCCAAGGGCACUUUCAUUGAUCAAGAGCGAAAGUUGAGGGUUCGAAGACGAUCAGAUACCGUCGUAGUCUCAACUAUAAAUGAUACCGACCAGGGAUGUGGCGAUUAGUCCGUCUCGACGCCCCCCGACCCUCGGCGAAAGCAAAGUCUUUGGGUUCCGGGGGGAGUAUGGUCGCAAGACUGAAACUUAAAGGAAUUGACGGAAGGGCACACCAGGAGUGGAGCCUGCGGCUUAAUUUGACUCAACACGGGGAAGCUCACUAGGUCAAGAUGCGUGAAUGAAGGACCAGCUGAUAGACUUUUCCCAAUACCGUAAGUGGUGGUGCAUGGCCGUUCUUAGUUCGUGGAUUGAUUUGUCUGGUCGAUUCCGAUAACGAGCGAGACACUAACGAUCUAAAUAGGGUAUCCCCUUUUGUCUUGGAAAAUGUGCCUUUUGGGAGAAGAAGUUUCCUGGAUCGUCCCCUUCGGAUGCGUAUGCGGAAAGGGGGGAUUGUUGAAGGGGGACUUAGUCGGACUCACAGCCUUUUUGCAGUUAGUAUGGUGGGUGCUCUUUUGUGUCUACCUGAAAACGGGGGAGGUGUGACCUGGGAAAUCUUCCCGGUGUUGCAGUGGGACUGGCUCGAGGGGGGCCGAAUGAAGAGGCGAGAGCGUGGAAAAAAACCCGUUCUUCUUAGAGGUAUCGGGUGCUGACAAAGCCCCAAAAACAGUGCAAUAACAGGUCUGUAAUGCCCUUAGAUGUCCUAGGCCGCACGCGCGCUACAAUGACGCGGAUAGCGAGCCACAAUCCUAACCGACCGGGCCGAGGGAGCCGCUGGGCAACCGGCGGAGCCUUUAGUCCGAAAACCCCCGGGUCUAUCGAUCAUCAGCAUAAGCUGAAACUGGGAAAUCUCCAAGAACGGAGUACUCGUCUGGGCCUGCGCUUUGUAACUAUAGGACACCAACGAGGAAUUUCUAGUAGGCGCGGGUCAUCAGCCCGCGCCGACUCUGUCCCUGCCCUUUGUACACACCGCCCGUCGCUGCUACCGAUUGAGUGGUUUGGUUACGUUCGUGGAGUUGCCCUGGUAAAGCCGGCCUCGCAAGGGGCUAUUGAGCUGGGGAUUGUGUGAAGCGAAAUCUACCGAGCCGCUGGAGGAAGCAGAAGUCGUAACAAGGAAUCG